GUGCACAUUUCGUUGACCUGCCUUCUCUAUAAUGGUGAGCAGUGUUAUUUCUCAUGUGCAAAACAAAUGAUUGAAGGUUAAUUAGCAACUUGGCUUGCUUUCAGCUCUGUUGCCAGUCUCCUUCAGACAUUA